rnacentral:tRNA from 1 species
GCCGAAGUGGCGGAACUGGCAGACGCGCAGGAUUCAAAAUCCUGAGGGGCUUUAGCCCCGUGAGGGUUCGAUUCCCUCCUUCGGCA